AACGAACGCUGGCGGCGUGCCUAACACAUGCAAGUCGAGCGAGAAAGCCCGCAAGGGUGAGUAAAGCGGCGCACGGGUGCGUAACACGUGGGUAAUCUGCCCUGGAGCCCGGAAUAACUCGCCGAAAGGCGUGCUAAUGCCGGAUAAGACCACGGGAACCUCGGUUCCUGCGGGAAAAGGUGGCCUCUGUAUACCAGCUAUCUCUUCAGGAUGAGCCCGCGGCCCAUCAGCUAGUUGGCGGGGUAACGGCCCACCAAGGCUACGACGGGUAGCUGGUCUAAGAGGACGAUCAGCCACACUGGAACUGAGACACGGUCCAGACUCCUACGGGAGGCAGCAGUGGGGAAUCUUGCGCAAUGGGCGAAAGCCUGACGCAGCAACGCCGCGUGUGUGAUGAAGGUCUUCGGAUCGUAAAGCACUGUCGGGAGGGACGAAUAAGGCGCCGGCUAACAUCCGGCGCUGAUGACGGUACCUCCAAAGGAAGCACCGGCUAACUCUGUGCCAGCCGCCGCUGUAAAAC
rnacentral:rRNA from 1 species